GAAAUGCUUCCAUGAGAUCCAACUGUAAGGCAUUUUUUCAAUUAGUGAUCAAUAGGGAAAGGCUCAGCCCAUGGUGGGUGGGGCCAUCCCUGGGCUGGUGGUCUU
ensembl:miRNA